rnacentral:lncRNA from 1 species
AUUCUGCUUUCCAACUGCCUGACUGCUUGUUCGUCUCACUGGUGUGAGCUCCAGCAUCCCCUUUGCUCGAAAUGGACCCCAACUGCUCUUGCGCCACUGGCUGCUGUUCCUGCUGCCCCGUGGGCUGUGCCAAGUGUGCCCAGGGCUGCGUCUGCAAAGGGGCAUCGGAGAAGUGCAGCUGCUGUGCCUGAUGUGGGAACAGCUCUUCUCCCAGAUGUAAAUAGAACAACCUGCACAACCUGGAUUUUUUUAAAAAUACAACACUGAGCCAUUUGCUGCAUUUCUUUUUAUACUAAAUAUGUGACUGACAAUAAAAACAAUUUUGACUUUAA